GUGCUCGCUUCGGCAGCACAUAUACUAAAAUUGGAACCUUAUAGAGAAGAUUAGCAUGGCCCCUGUGCAGGGAUGAUAUGCAAAUUCGUGAAGUGUUCCAUAUUUUU
rnacentral:snRNA from 1 species